AUGAGGACACCGAAGUCCUUCAGAGCACGGCCACAGGGCUAAAAUUCCUGUCCACAAGCCAACAACAGAAGAAAAAAAAGAUAAACAUCUCUGCACCUUUUUGUGACCUGUGCUAGAAAAAGGCUCUGUUGUGUUAUAAUGUUAAUCCAUUUUGACAAUACAGACAGGAUAUCUUCAUAAAAAACAGAUCUUAACAAGACUUUCUGUUGACCCUUACCACACAGCUAGGUUAUUUUCAUAAUUUAC
rnacentral:lncRNA from 1 species